rnacentral:rRNA from 1 species
CACGUAGGGUGCGAGCGUUGUCCGGAAUUAUUGGGCGUAAAGAGCUCGUAGGCGGUGUGUCGCGUCGGCCGUGAAAACCUGCAGCUUAACUGUGGGCUUGCGGUCGAUACGGGCAUCACUGGAGUUCGGCAGGGGAGACUGGAAUUCCUGGUGAUAGCGGUGAAAUGCGCAGAUAUCAGGAGGAACACCGGUGGCGAAGGCGGGUC